ensembl:lncRNA
ACUGUUCGCCACUGUUUUCUCCUUAAAUCCCAGCCUGGCAUGAAACAGAGUAGCAAAUCUUGGAUCCUGUAUGUCUCUGACGUGGUGUUCUCUCCCUGGAAGGUCUGUCUAUUACUGAUCUGUCUACUACCUGUCUACUACUAACUUGGAGUCUGCCCCCCGCCUGUGUGUUUUCAGUCUACCAGCCCGGCUUCUCAAUGUCAUCAUGUGGAUCCAUGUACUCCCCCUGUCAACUUCCCUGCUGUCCCCUCCCCCCAACAACCCAUCAAGUUGCUUCCAUUGUUCAGCACUAAAACCCUCAACAUGUUAGAGUUCGUCUGACCCAGAACGCAGAGAAAUCACACUGACCACGUAAGAAGGACAUGAGCACUUGGAUCACAAUUCUGAUCUACCUGGCCCAAAUGACUUGCAACUGUCCUGCCUGAAGUUCUACUGGUUGAGGUGCUGAUCCGGUUGCUGCCAGAUUGCUCCUGCAGCCACUUCCCAUGUUCCACCUGACUGUCCCAAUCCUGUCUACCUGGUUAUGCUGUGGACUUGGCCUCUGUUUUAGGACUCCGGUCAAAGCCUGCUUGCAAUUAUUGACCUGCUAGUCUUCUGAUCAUGCAAAACAUUGACUUAGACUAUAAGGUUAUGAGCACAUACAGAAUAAGCUUCUCCCAGUGCAGCUAGAAGAGGACUAGCCACCCUUCAGUCUAGUUUCUCUCUAGGUUUCUUCCUAAUUUUGGAGGUUUUAGGCUCGGUGACAAAAGAGGUUUUAGGCUCAGUGACAACUGCUGAUGUAAAAACGGCUUUACAAAUAUAAUUUGAUUGGUUAUUAUUAUUCUG